GAUGAACGCUGGCGGCGUGCCUAAUAUAUGCAAGUCGAGCGAAUGGAUUAAGAGCUUGCUCUUAUGAAGUUAGCGGCGGACGGGUGAGUAACACGUGGGUAACCUGCCCAUAAGACUGGGAUAACUCCGGGAAACCGGGGCUAAUACCGGAUAACAUUUUGAACCGCAUGGUUCGAAAUUGAAAGGCGGCUUCGGCUGUCACUUAUGGAUGGACACGCGUCGCAUUAGCUAGUUGGUGAGGUAACGGCUCACCAAGGCAACGAUGCGUAGCCGACCUGAGGGGGUGAUCGGCCACACUGGGACUGAGACACGGCCCGAACUCCUACGGGAGGCAGCAGUAGGGAAUCUUCCGCAAUGGACGAAAGUCUGACGGAGCAACGCCGCGUGGGUGAUGAAGGCUUUCGGGUCGUAAAACUCUGUUGUUAGGGAAGAACAAGUGCUAGUUGAAUAAGCUGGCACCUUGACGGUACCUAACCAGAAAGCCACGGCUAACUACGUGCCAGCCGCCGCAGUAAAAC
rnacentral:rRNA from 1 species